rnacentral:rRNA from 1 species
AUUGAACGCUGGCGGCAUGCUUUACACAUGCAAGUCGAACGGUAACAGGCCGCAAGGUGCUGACGAGUGGCGAACGGGUGAGUAAUGCAUCGGAACGUGCCCAGUCGUGGGGGAUAACUACUCAAAAGAGUAGCUAAUACCGCAUACGAUCUAUGGAUGAAAGCGGGGGACCGUAAGGCCUCGCGCGAUUGGAGCGGCCGAUGUCAGAUUAGGUAGUUGGUGGGGUAAAGGCUCACCAAGCCAACGAUCUGUAGCUGGUCUGAGAGGACGACCAGCCACACUGGGACUGAGACACGGCCCAGACUCCUACGGGAGGCAGCAGUGGGGAAUUUUGGACAAUGGGCGCAAGCCUGAUCCAGCAAUGCCGCGUGCAGGAAGAAGGCCUUCGGGUUGUAAACUGCUUUUGUACGGAACGAAACGGCUCUGGUUAAUACCCGGGGCUAAUGACGGUACCGUAAGAAUAAGCACCGGCUAACUACGUG